CACGUAGGGCGCAAGCGUUGUCCGGAAUUAUUGGGCGUAAAGAGCUCGUAGGCGGUCUGUUGCGUCCGCUGUGAAAACUCGGGGCUUAACCCCGAGCCUGCAGUGGAUACGGGCAGACUAGAGGUAGGUAGGGGAGUCUGGAAUUCCUGGUGUAGCGGUGAAAUGCGCAGAUAUCAGGAGGAACACCGGUGGCGAAGGCGGGUCUCUGGGCCGAUACUGACGCUGAGGAGCGAAAGCGUGGGGAGCGAACAGG
rnacentral:rRNA from 1 species